rnacentral:rRNA from 1 species
GAAUAUUGGACAAUGGGGGGCACCCUGCUCCAGCCAUGCCGCGUGUGUGAAGAAGGCCUUUUGGUUGUACAGCCCUUUCAGCGAGGCGGAGUAGCUCUUGGUUAAUACCCAAGAUGCUUGGACGUUACUCGCAGAAUACGCCCCGGCUAACUCUGUGCCCGCCGCCGCGGUAAGACAGAGGGUGCAAGCGUUAAUCGGAUUUACUGGGCGUAAAGCGCGCGUAGGUGGCCAAUUAAGUCAAAUGUGAAAUCCCCGAGAUUAACUUGGGAAUUGCAUUCGAUACUGGUUGGCUAGAGUAUGGGAGAGGAUGGUAGAAUUCCAGGUGUAGCGGUGAAAUGCGUAGAGAUCUGGAGGAAUACCGAUGGCGAAGGCAGCCAUCUGGCCUAAUACUGACACUGAGGUGCGAAAGCAUGGGGAGCAAACA